AUGCUCACCAAGGCCUGGUCCUUCCGUUCCAUGUGGUCUUGACCUGUCCUUUAUGAGCAAGAGAAAUCGAACUGAUUUUGGGGAUACCCCAUCUAAGUGGAUAUGGGAGAUCAUGGUUUUCAGUACAACA